GACGAACGCUGGCGGCGUGCUUAACACAUGCAAGUCGAACGGAGUGGCGAACGGGUGAGUAACACGUGGGUGAUCUGCCUUGCACUUCGGGAUCAGCUUGGGAAACUGGGUCUAAUACCGGAUAGUGCAAGAUGAGCUCGCGGCCGGUCAGCUUGUGGGUUGGGUAAUGGCCUACCACGGCGUCGACGUGUAGCCGGCCUGAGAGGGUGUACGGCCAGAUUGGGACUGAGAUACGGCCCAGACGCCGACGGGAGGCAGCAGGGUGGAAUAUUGCACAAUGGGCGGAAGCCUGAUGCAGCGACGCCGCGUGGGGGAUGAAGGCCUUCGUGUUGUAGACUCCUUUCGACAGGGACGCGGUACCUGUAUAAGAAGCACAGGCUAACUACGUGCCAGCCGCCGCGGUAAUAC
rnacentral:rRNA from 1 species